rnacentral:rRNA from 1 species
UACGUAGGGUGCGAGCGUUGUCCGGAUUUAUUGGGCUUAAAGGGUGCGUAGGCGGCCUAUUAAGUCAGGGGUGAAAGACGGUAGCUUAACUAUCGCAGUGCCUUUGAUACUGAUGGGCUUGAAUGGACUAGAGGUAGGCGGAAUGAGACAAGUAGCGGUGAAAUGCAUAGAUAUGUCUCAGAACACCGAUUGCGAAGGCAGCUUACUAUGGUCUUAUUGACGCUGAGGCACGAAAGCGUGGGGAUCAAACGGG